AAUAAUAAUAUUUUUUCAGAGAACCUACAUAAGAAAGACUACCAUUAGAGUAUGAAAAACAAAAAAAAAUACACAAAAACUCUCUUGUAACAUUUUUGGAAAUUUAAUCAUUAAAAAAUGGAGAGAGCCCAUAGAGAGGCUCUCUCCAUUGGAGAUGCUCUAAGUUCUUCAAGUGGGCAAGAAGAGAAACCGUUUAAGUACCUUCCUUUUGGCGGCGGGAGGAGAGGAUGUCCUGGAGGUAAUUUAGCUUAUAUAUUUGUUGGAACUGCAAUUGGAGUGAUGGUGCAGUGCUUUGACUGGA
rnacentral:sRNA from 1 species